AUGGAGAACAGCAGCAGGAAAUCCUGCACAGAAAACCCUCCGGAUCUGGAGAUCCACACGAUUUCCAGCCAGUCGAGUCUAGAGGAGAGUCCUGAGAGGACAGACGAGAGCGGAAGGCUCCAGCCAGAAGUAGGAAGCAGUGAAACCAGCAGAAAGAUCAUCACGCCGGAGGAGCACAGCACAGCCGUCUCCUGGGUAACCAUGGUAACAGAGAAGGUCAGCUCCGUUCUGUCGUCCAAUGAGACGCGGAGCCUGGACAGACUGCUGCUCUUCUACAUGAUCCUUGUGAUUCUUCUUCUGCUGGCGUCUGGUUACAUCGGUUUGCGGAUCGUGGCGCUGGAGCAGCAGCUGAGCAUUCUGGGAUCGAUGCAGAAAGAGAAUCAGGAAUCGUGAGAACAGUGAGGGUCCUGGAGGAGAAUGGUUCAGAUUGAGCUUCAGUCAAAGCAGUGAGAGAAUCGUGCUGCUAACACACAGUCAUUAAUGCUGGUCAGAUGGAGACUGUGUGCAUCAGAGACCUGCAGCUCAUCCUGACCUCACUGACCUCAUCAUUUAUAAAUACUGUAUUUCAUAAACUUUAAAUAUUAAAUAUUCAGAUUAUAAACGCUGGUGUUUCUGAUCUGUCUGAAAGUAUUUCUGCUACACUAUUAGAUCUGAGAUGUUUAUAGUGUUUUAUAUAAGGUUAAUAUUGUUAUUCCUACCUGCAUACGUUCUAAUAAUUAUAAUUGUGAAUAUUUAUUUUGAGACAUCUAAAAACAAUCAAGUAUAUUUCUGAUGAGUGUGUGUGAACAGAACUGGAUCUGUG
ensembl:lncRNA